GACGAGGUGGCCGAGAGGUUAAGGCGUUGGACUGCUAAUCCAUUGGGCUCUUCCCGCGUGGGUUCGAAAUCCAUCCGCGUCG